rnacentral:rRNA from 1 species
UACGUAGGUGGCGAGCGUUGUCCGGAUUUACUGGGCGUAAAGAGCGCGCAGGCGGUCGUGUAAGUCGAAUGUGAAAGCCCCCGGCUCAACUGGGGAGGGUCAUUCGAUACUGCUCGACUCGAAGGCAGGAGAGGGAAGCGGAAUUCCCGGUGUAGUGGUGAAAUGCGUAGAUAUCGGGAGGAACACCAGUGGCGAAGGCGGCUUCCUGGCCUGUUCUUGACGCUGAGGCGCGAAAGCUAGGGGAGCGAACAGG